GACAAUGUCACUUUUGCUGAUGUCCCUUCCACUUUGGCCUCACUUUCCAUUUCACCUUCUGCUAAUAUCACGUCUGCAUCUUUCUUUGACAAACUUAGAUCAAUUUCAGGUCGUUUCACUUUUGGCAUUGUAAUUCCAAAUUUUGGCAUUUUAAAUUUGCUUUCUUUUCCUUCAAGUUUGGGUCCUUCAGUUUUCAUAUCGACUGAUGGCCCUUCAAUAUCAAAACUGGGGGCUUCAAUGUUAACUUCAAGUUUGUCUUCAGGAAUAUUUAUGUCAGCUCCACUAAUUUUGAUGUCUUUUUCCACAUCAGGUACUUCUGCAGUGAUGUUUUGAGUUCCACUUCCAAAUUUUGGGAGUUUGAAUGUUGGCA